ACCUCUAUGGCGCAGUAGGCAACGCGUGAGUCUCAUAAUCUCCAGGUCGUGAGUUCGAUCCUCACUCGGGGCA
rfam:Ciona savignyi cont_23822, whole genome shotgun sequence.